UGAACGCUAGCGACAGGCCUAACACAUGCAAGUCGAGGGGCAGCACAAGGAGCAAUCUGAGGUGGCGACCGGCGCACGGGUGAGUAACACGUAUGCAACCUGCCUGUAAGCGGGGAAUAACCCGUUGAAAGACGGACUAAUACCGCAUAAUACUAAAUUACUGCAUGGUAAUUUAUUUAAACAUUUAUGGCUUACAGAUGGGCAUGCGCAUGAUUAGCUAGUUGGAGAGGUAACGGCUCCCCAAGGCAACGAUCAUUAGGGGUUCUGAGAGGAAGGUCCCCCACACUGGUACUGAGACACGGACCAGACUCCUACGGGAGGCAGCAGUGAGGAAUAUUGGUCAAUGGACGAGAGUCUGAACCAGCCAAGUCGCGUGCAGGAAGAAUGUCCUUAAUGGAUUGUAAACUGCUUUUGCAGGGGGAAUAAAGUGCAUCACGUGUGAUGUCUUGUAUGUACUCUGCGAAUAAGGAUCGGCUAACUCCGUGCCAGCCGCCGC
rnacentral:rRNA from 1 species